GGCCAGUUAGCUCAGCUGGUUAGAGCGUGGUGCUAAUAACGUCGAUGGUCCUGGGUUCGAUCCCCAUACUGGCCA
rnacentral:tRNA from 1 species